GACGAACGCUGGCGGCGUGCUUAACACAUGCAAGUCGAACGGAAAGGCCCUGCUUUUGUGGGGUGCUCGAGUGGCGAACGGGUGAGUAACACGUGAGUAACCUGCCCUUGACUUUGGGAUAACUUCAGGAAACUGGGGCUAAUACCGGAUAGGAGCUCCUGCUGCAUGGUGGGGGUUGGAAAGUUUCGGCGGUUGGGGAUGGACUCGCGGCUUAUCAGCUUGUUGGUGGGGUAGUGGCUUACCAAGGCUUUGACGGGUAGCCGGCCUGAGAGGGUGACCGGCCACAUUGGGACUGAGAUACGGCCCAGACUCCUACGGGAGGCAGCAGUGGGGAAUAUUGCACAAUGGGCGGAAGCCUGAUGCAGCAACGCCGCGUGCGGGAUGACGGCCUUCGGGUUGUAAACCGCUUUCGCCUGUGACGAAGCGUGAGUGACGGUAAUGGGUAAAGAAGCACCGGCUAACUACGUGCCAGCAGCCGCGGUGAUACGUAGGGUGCGAGCGUUGUCCGGAUUUAUUGGGCGUAAAGGGCUCGUAGGUGGUUGAUCGCGUCGGAAGUGUAAUCUUGGGGCUUAACCCUGAGCGUGCUUUCGAUACGGGUUGACUUGAGGAAGGUAGGGGAGAAUGGAAUUCCUGGUGGAGCGGUGGAAUGCGCAGAUAUCAGGAGGAACACCAGUGGCGAAGGCGGUUCUCUGGGCCUUUCCUGACGCUGAGGAGCGAGAGCGUGGGGAGCGAACAGGCUUAGAUACCCUGGUAGUCCACGCUGUAAACGGUGGGUACUAGGUGUGGGGUCCAUUCCACGGGUUCCGUGCCGUAGCUAACGCUAUAAGUACCCCGCCUGGGGAGUACGGCCGCAAGGCUAAAACUCAAAGGAAUUGACGGGGCCCCGCACAAGCGGCGGAGCAUGCGGAUUAAUUCGAUGCAACGCGUAGAACCUUACCUGGGUUUGACAUGGAUCGGGAGUGCUCAGAGAUGGGUGUGCCUCUUUUGGGGUCGGUUCACAGGUGGUGCAUGGCUGUCGUCAGCUCGUGUCGUGAGAUGUUGGGUUAAGUCCCGCAACGAGCGCAACCCUUGUUCACUGUUGCCAGCACGUUAUGGUGGGGACUCAGUGGAGACCGCCGGGGUCAACUCGGAGGAAGGUGGGGAUGACGUCAAGUCAUCAUGCCCCUUAUGUCCAGGGCUUCACGCAUGCUACAAUGGCUGGUACAGAGAGUGGCGAGCCUGUGAGGGUGAGCGAAUCUCGGAAAGCCGGUCUCAGUUCGGAUUGGGGUCUGCAACUCGACCUCAUGAAGUCGGAGUCGCUAGUAAUCGCAGAUCAGCAACGCUGCGGUGAAUACGUUCCCGGG
rnacentral:rRNA from 1 species